UACGGAGGGUGCGAGCGUUGUCCGGAAUCAUUGGGCGUAAAGGGCGCGUAGGUGGCCCGGUCAGUCAGUGGUGAAAGCCCGGGGCUCAACCCGGAGGUCAGCCGAUACUGGCAGGCUAGAGUACGGAAGAGGUAGCUGGAAUUCCGGUGUAGCGGUGAAAUGCGUAGAUAUCGGGAGGAACACCUGAGGCGAAGGCGGGCUACUGGGCCGAU
rnacentral:rRNA from 1 species